rnacentral:rRNA from 1 species
GAUGAACGCUAGCUACAGGCUUAACACAUGCAAGUCGAGGGGCAGCAUGAACUUAGCUUGCUAAGUUUGAUGGCGACCGGCGCACGGGUGAGUAACACGUAUCCAACCUGCCGAUGACUCGGGGAUAGCCUUUCGAAAGAAAGAUUAAUACCCGAUGGCAUAGUUCUUCCGCAUGGUAGAACUAUUAAAGAAUUUCGGUCAUCGAUGGGGAUGCGUUCCAUUAGGUUGUUGGCGGGGUAACGGCCCACCAAGCCUUCGAUGGAUAGGGGUUCUGAGAGGAAGGUCCCCCAGAUUGGAACUGAGACACGGUCCAAACUCCUACGGGAGGCAGCAGUGAGGAAUAUUGGUCAAUGGACGAGAGUCUGAACCAGCCAAGUAGCGUGAAGGAUGACUGCCCUAUGGGUUGUAAACUUCUUUUAUACGGGAGUAAAGUGAGGCAAGUGUGCCUUUUUGUAGGUAACGUAUGAAUAAGGAUCGGCUAACUCCGUG